rnacentral:rRNA from 1 species
CGGGAAUCUUCCGCAAUGGACGAAAGUCUGACGGAGCAACGCCGCGUGAGCGAUGAAGGUCUUCGGAUCGUAAAGCUCUGUUGUUAGGGAAGAACAAGUACGAGAGUAACUGCUCGUACCUUGACGGUACCUAACCAGAAAGCCACGGCUAACUACGUGCCAGCAGCCGCGGUAAUACGUAGGUGGCAAGCGUUGUCCGGAAUUAUUGGGCGUAAAGGGCUCGCAGGCGGUCUUCUAAGUCUGAUGUGAAAUCUUGCGGCUUAACCGUAAGCGGUCAUUGGAAACUGGAGGACUUGAGUACAGAAGAGGAGAGUGGAAUUCCACGUGUAGCGGUGAAAUGCGUAGAGAUGUGGAGGAACACCAGUGGCGAAGGCGACUCUCUGGUCUGUAACUGACGCUGAGGAGCGAAAGCGUGGGGAGCAAAC